CCAAUAGCGUAUAUUAAAGUUGUUGCAGUUAAAAAGCUCGUAGUUGAAUUUCGAGACCGGUUUACUGGUCGUGCUUUUGUACGUACUGGUAUUAUUGGUUUCUCCUUUCUGACGAAUCAUAAUGCCAUUAAUUUGGUGUUUUGGGGAAUCAGGACUGUUACUUUGAAAAAAUUAGAGUGUUUAAAGCAGGCUCACGCUUGAAUACAUUAGCAUGGAAUAACGAAAUAGGACGUUUGAUUUUAUUUUGUUGGUUUCUAGGAUCGACGUAAUGAUUAAUAGGGAUAGUUGGGGGCAUUAGUAUUCAAUUGUCAGAGGUGAAAUUCUUUGAUUUAUUGAAGACUAACUACUGCGAAAGCAUUUGCCAAGGAUGUUUUCAUUAAUCAAGAACGAAAGUUAGGGGAUCGAAGACGAUCAGAUACCGUCGUAGUCUUAACCAUAAACUAUGCCGACUAGGGAUCGGAUGAUGUUAAUUUUUUAAUGACUCAUUCGGCGCCUUACG
rnacentral:rRNA from 1 species